rnacentral:rRNA from 1 species
UACGUAGGCAGCGAGCGUUGUUCGGAGUUACUGGGCGUAAAGGGUGCGUAGGAGGGCAGGUAAGUCAGUGGUGAAAUCUCCGAGCUUAACUCGGAACUGCCGUUGAUACUAUCUGUCUUGAAUACCGUGGAGGUGAGCGGAAUAUGUCAUGUAGCGGUGAAAUGCUUAGAUAUGACAUAGAACACCAAUUGCGAAGGCAGCUCACUACACGAGCAUUGACUCUGAGGCACGAAAGCGUGGGGAUCAAACAGG